ensembl:lncRNA
GGUGCCAUAUGAACAGGACUGUCUGUUGAUCAGCCAACGUGAUGAAGAUGAGGAACUGUUCUCGUCUUCAUGAUAAUCACAGUCUAUAAGUCAUGUCAGGUCUUUAUUUCUAUGACAUAUCAAAUCAAAUUAUAUUCAAAGUCAAACUGUAUGAUGGAUUUUUGACAAAUAUUUUUUCUGAUAAUAAUUCUAUAAAAGUUUGGUUUAAAAGGGAUAGCUUGGUGUAGCUUCAUAAAAAGGGAAAAUUACUUUUCAUGUUUUAGAUUUGUAUUGUAAGUUUUUAGUUUGUUUCUGAUUGGCCAAAAGGAGAGCACAGGGAUUCUUAAUUGGCUGAAUGAUCAGAUCCAAAUCUCCAUGUUUUGAGUCACACCCUCCUAACCUAUCAGAAUAGAGAGAGAGAGAUCCCUGACCUAUCAGAAGAAAGCGAGAGAGAGAGAGAGACAUCCCUGACCUAUCAGAAGAGAGAGAGCGAGACAUCCCUGACCUAUCAGAAGAGAGAGAGCGAGACAUCCCUGACCUAUCAGAAGAGAGAGAGAGACAUCCCUGACCUAUCAGAAGAGAGAGAGACAAAGAUCCCUGACCUAUCAGAAGCGAGAGACAGUAGAGAGAGAUCCCUGACCUAUCAGAAGAGAGACAGAGAGAGACAUCCCUGACCUAUCAGAAGAGGGAGAGAGACAGAGAAGAUCCCUGACCUAUCAGAAUCAGAAAGUGUCUUUGUGCUGUGGAUAUCACAGUUGUAACUGAGUGUAAAGGAGUCUUGUAACAUCCAGAAUCUACAGAGCGAUGGGUUAGCAUUCUGCUCAUUGGUAGCUGUAAUAUUCAGGUUAGCAUUCUGCUCAUUGGUAGCUGUAAUAUUCAGGUUAGCAUUCUGCUCAUUGGUAGCUGUAAUAUUCAGGUUAGCAUUCUGCUCAUUGGUAGCUGUAAUAUUCAGGUUAGCAUGCCGUUUUUCUUCUUCUUUACCCAAUCUCCCCUCUUCCGUAUCGAUUCCUCCCUCCAGAUCAUUAUCUCCGGUAUAAAAAGCCUGCGUUAUUUUUGUAGAGUAUUUAUUAAGCUGUAGAUUUAUGUCCCAAAAUGUUGGGUGUCCAUGAUCGUUGUCGUUGAUUGGUUUCUGACUAGAUGCUAACUUGAGAUGGGACCCGCACUCAAACGAAAUCAUCACGAUUGGCUUAAAUCGUUCAUUGAUUGAUAUUGAUCAGAGAUUUUUCAGCCAAAAACUUGGAUUGAGCCGCUCAUCUCAAGUUAGGAUUCGGCCCAAAAGGAAAACAAGAAUAGGAAAUGUGUGAAUACAGCUGUACGGGAAAAAAGAUUGUGAUAUAAAUGUUUAAAUAAAAAAUGUUUAAAUAAAAAAC